AGUUCCAUGGCACAGUGGUUAGAGCAUUAGAUUUAUGUUUUGAAGACUCGGGUUUGAAUCCCACUACUGCUU
rnacentral:tRNA from 1 species